rnacentral:lncRNA from 1 species
GCGCGCUACGUCCCUCAGACUGGCUGCCCCCGAGGGUUCGCGUGAGCGGAGCACGGGGCUCGGGGUGCGGGGGGCUGGUGUGAUGGACGCAUUUGUUCUUCGGUCCCUGACGAUUGUUUCUCAUUUGCCCUCCAAGCCCCAAAUCCUGUCAGUCCACGGCCUUGAUGGAGCGGCCCCCGUGGGACGACCCUGUUGAUUGUGCUAGCGGAUGUUGUCUCCAUUCUGGAUCUGGGAAAAACUGUGGAGUGAAAGCCGGACCUGUUAGGGUUGGGACCUGAAAGCGGACUUUUUCGCUCUCAGACGGGCCCCAGACGGGAGCUCUUUCAGGCCAGUGGUUUGUUGUUCAUCAAGAUAUCCAAGUACCCGGCAACAUUCCUGGCAUAUAAUAGGAAGGCAGAUCUGGUGAAUGAAUGAAUGAAUGGCGGUAUCUGGAGCAGAGACAAUGAAUUUCAUGUUUAACAGAGGUGUCUUCAAGGAGAUGAAACAAUUCAGAAUGACCUAGGCAAUGGGGUAAUUCCUAAGGAACAAGCUAUUCAUUCAUACAGCAUGGACGAAUAUUAAAUGCAUGUUGCUGAGUGAAAGAAGCCAGAAUGAUAAGGCUACAUCCUGGAAAAGUUUAUAUUCUGGAAAAGGCAAAACUUAUAGAGACAGAAACAAAUCAGCCAGUUGUUGCUGGGGUUUGGGAGAGAAGAAUGUUGACUAUGUGAAGAACAAGGGAUCUUGGGGGGCAUCUAUUCCAUAUGCUACUGUAGGGGUGGAUGCAUGAUACUAUCAUUUGUGGAAAACCAUAGAACUUUACAAAACUAACAGUGAACCUUAAUGUCUGCAAAAUUUUACAAAAUCAACUAGGAGGCUGGGGGAUCCCAGGAUGAAAUACAGGCAAUGACAAAAGAGCCUAACUCUAUUACACAUUUAUAACAUAACCGCACCGAAGAGGACUGGUAUUCUAUAACUGUGGAAAUAAUGGAAACUGGAAAACUGAAGACAAAAGGAACUGUACUUAGCACUAUACUCUAGUUGGUAAAGGCGUUUCUCAAGGGGUACCAGUUAACAAUUCUGAGACUGCUGUACAUGUAUGCAGAGACUGAACAAAUAAGUAAAUGGCUGGUACAUGCUCACUCUCAGGGAGGGAGGCCACAGAUAAACAAGAGGAAGAGGCUCUAAUGUCAUGUGUGGUUGUGGAUUAGAACCAGAAACAUAAAUAUGAACUCAUGUUUAGAUUAAUAUAGAUAUUAAUGGAUUGAUAUAGAAAUAAUGAUGAUAUGGGUAUAUAUACAGGUUAGUAUACAGUCAUAUAUUUCUUAUCCCUAUCCACUGAGAGGGCCUAGAAACAACAAUACUCCAGUAGCAACACACACAUCUCGUGCCCAUAUCUUGAUUUCUUUUGCCAUUUCCUAACAAAAGGAGCCAGGACUUCUUGGAGAAAUGGCUGAUUCUAAGACUGGGUCAGAGAGUAUACCAGAUGACGCUGGCACAUCUUCUACUGCUAGAAAGUAAGGAAAUGCUCAAAAAAUAAAACCACGGAGAUAUUUCAAAGGAACACAGAAGCCAAGUGGAACAGCUCCCAGUGGCCAAAGCUGGAAAAAUUGGGGCAAAAAAAAAAAAAAAAGUAUUAGGUUAUAAUCCAAAAUAUAAAAUAAAUAAUCACCAGCCCGUACUAAUGUGCAUAAAUUAUUGAAUAAAUAAGUAAAUGGGUGAAAAGAGAAAACUCUCUCCCAUACAAAGGAAGCCCAAAUAAUUUAUGUAGAUGAUCGCCCUGCAAUGAGGCAGAGGGCAACUCCCUACCCUGUGUUAAGUGUGGAUGGCACUUAGAGACUUGCUUCUGAAGAGCGCAAUACGGAAAGGAGGGGAGAAGUAACUUGGCAAUGAAGAAACCUGACAAACACCAUCUUCUCCAGGCAGCCAAGGUUAACACCAUCAGUGAUAAGUUACGUUGAUAGCCUGUAUUUUUGAUAUGAUGUGUUGAGAAUGUACUUAGUUUCUGUGGUCUUCUUCCCAAACACCUGACACCAGGCUCACCAGGAGAAAAUGAAUCCAAAUUAAGGGACAUUCUACAGAAUACCUGACCAACACUCCCUCCUAAAAACUGUCAAGGUCAUCAAGGAAUGUCUAGGAAGAAGGAAAGUCUGAGAAGUUGUCUCAGCCCAGAGGAGCCUUAAGAAGCCAUGACAGGUAGGGCGCGGUGGCUCACGCCUGUAAUCCCAGCACUUUGGGAGGUCGAGGUGGGCGGAUCAC